AUGUCCUUCAAUGGCACAUGUACUGAAAUUGAAAUGAUACAGAGAAGAUUAACAUGGCCCUUGCACAAGGGUGGUACUUUUGGAUGGGUUGCUCCCUAAAGGCAA